AUCCUUUGGCGUACAGGUAUAACGUGCGGUACGCUAAGUACCGAUCAGCGACGCGCCAUCGUGAGUUUUACCGAAAUGAGCUUGAUGGUCUCCAACACGAACAGUUCAAGUGGAGACCCUAUACA